GAUUAACGCUGGCGGCGUGCAUAACACAUGCAAGUCGAACGAAGUGGCGGACGGGUGAGUAACGCGUGAGUAACCUGCCUUAGAGAAGGGGAUAGCCUUUGGAAACGAAGAAUAAUACCCUAUGCUCUAAGAGGGGCUUGCGUCUGAUUAGUUAGUUGGUGGGGUAACGGCCCACCAAGACAGCGAUCAGUAGCCGGAUUGGGGAAGUGUACGGCCACAUUAGGACUGGGACACGGGCCAAACUCGACGAGAGGGAGCAGUGGGGAAGGUGGCACAAUGGGGGAAUCCCUAAGGCAGCGACGCCGCGUGAUUUAGAAGGCCUGCGGGUUGUAAAAAUCUUUUCUAUGGGAAGCAGUACCAUAGGAAUAAGGACCGGCUAAUUACGUGCCAGCAGCCGCGGUAAUAC
rnacentral:rRNA from 1 species